GUGGGGAAUUUUGGACAAUGGGCGCAAGCCUGAUCCAGCAAUGCCGCGUGCAGGAAGAAGGCCUUCGGGUUGUAAACUGCUUUUGUACGGAACGAAACGGUCCUGGUUAAUACCCGGGGCUAAUGACGGUACCGUAAGAAUAAGCACCGGCUAACUACGUGCCAGCAGCCGCGGUAAUACGUAGGGUGCAAGCGUUAAUCGGAAUUACUGGGCGUAAAGCGUGCGCAGGCGGUGCUGUAAGACAGGCGUGAAAUCCCCGGGCUUAACCUGGGAAUUGCGCUUGGGACUGCAGUGCUGGAGGGGGGCAGAGGGGGAUGGAAUUCCGCGUGGAGCAGUGAAAUGCGUAGAUAUGCGGAGGAACACCGAUGGCGAAGGCAAUCCCCUGGGCCUGCACUGACGCUCAUGCACGAAAGCGUGGGGAGCAAACAGGAUUAGAAACCCCGGUAGUCC
rnacentral:rRNA from 1 species